rnacentral:rRNA from 1 species
AAAGGAAUUGACGGGGACCCGCACAAGCAGUGGAGUAUGUGGUUUAAUUCGAAGCAACGCGAAGAACCUUACCAGGGCUUGACAUCUACAGAAUCCCCGAGAGAUCGGGGAGUGCCUUCGGGAGCUGUAAGACAGGUGGUGCAUGGUUGUCGUCAGCUCGUGUCGUGAGAUGUUGGGUUAAGUCCCGCAACGAGCGCAACCCUUAUUGUUAGUUGCCAUCAUUGAGUUGGGCACUCUAGCAAGACUGCCGUUGACAAAACGGAGGAAGGUGGGGACGACGUCAAAUCAUCAUGCCCCUUAUGUCCUGGGCUACACACGUACUACAAUGGCCGGUACAACAGGAAGCGAAACAGCGAUGUGGAGCAAAUCCCCAAAAGCGGCCCCAGUUCAGAUUGCAGGCUGAAACUCGCCUGUAUGAAGUAGGAAUUGCUAGUAAUCGCGAAUCAGCAUGUCGCGGUGAAUACGUUCCCGGGUCUUGUACACACCGCCCGU